AAAGUGGUCAAGCCCUGAAGUAUUGGAAUUGUUUAGCGCAAUUUGCGGUUAGUGUAAUUUUCCUCAUAAAAGUCACAUAAUUCUACUGGAGACUUAAAUAAGUGGAAUUUCGAUCCUUUUUGGAAAUACAAAGGAGAUUUAAUUUCGUUUUGUUUUCUGUAAGUUCUGUUUACGGCUGAAGAAAUGCCUGCUUAUUUCACACGCUUACGUAUGUGACUGUACAGCGAGUUAUAAUUUUCCAUCAGGCGCAGAAAUGUGGGUGUCUUAAGUGCUAGGCUGCGCUUGAGAAAUGGCUCUUGGAGGCUUGGAGGCUUUCUCACAGCCAAUUUGGAGGCUUUUGCUGUUGUGGUCAAUCUGCGAUUCACAGAGUGCCUACCGCAGGAACGGGAUGACUUUCCUGGCCUUUGCAGGUUCCUUUGGACAGGAAGUGCUGUGGGCUGCCACAAAUCUGGAUUGGACACAUUUUGUUUAGUUGGUGUUCAUAUAAACUCUAGUAAUAUGAGUUUCCUCUUUUCUAAACAGGUUUAAUUUUGUAUUUUUAGUCGGUAACAACCAAUAUUCCAUAACAAUUUCAGCUUUUUUGAUGAUGAUGUGUGUUACUAUUUUUUUUUUUAUCUUGUCUUUAUCUGGAAAGUUGGAUAAUGAAAACCAAUCUUCUUUUUGAUGCUGUAAUAUUUUAUCUUUUCUGUUGUAAUACCUUGCUUUUGUAAUUUUGUACCAUUUUUGUUUGGAUUUAGAGUAUUUAAUUGUCUUUCUUUUUUUUAUUAAAAAUCUUGAAAUAAAAAUGUGUUCUGUGUUCAAAAAAUUGUAUUAUUGUUUUUUUAAAAGAUUUUUAAUAUAAAAAAAAAAAUACAUGGUAUUACCAUGAUUUAAAAAACACACACGUGAAACCACGACUUAUUUACUUUUGUAAUGUUGUUUAUUUUUUUUUUUUUUUUUUUUUAUUUUUUUUAUUUAAGAACGUAAACCCCUUAACUAUUUUCUGUAAUUUUUUUUAUCCAUAAGCUUAUGGUUGUAUAUUGAUAAGCUUGGAGUGAAUAUAUAUAUAACAUUUAAAAAUUUUAUAAUAGUUGUAUUAAUAUUUCAAAAAAUUAACAUUAUACACACACACAGUGGUGGGCCGUCAGAGUCAGCAGGGCCUUCUCUGCUUGCCCUAUAAAAAAUAAAAUUGUGUAAAAAAUAUUUUUAUUAUUUAGGUAUCAUUUUCAUUUGUGUAAUGUCCACAAAAUGGCCUAUGAUUAGUUUAGUUGAGGUUGAACUGGAAUAUUCUACAUAAAAAAAAAGUCUGCGGCCAGCAUGUUUAUUUUUUUUUUUAUUACGAGUAAAGGGACAUGGAAUGACAGACACACGGACUUUAUUUACAAGUGAGAGGUGAGUGCUUUAUUAUUUGACGAGUAUUGAUUCUUGCACAUUGUUAUGGAGGUGUAUGUGGUGUGUUGAUAAUACUGUGGCGUGGUGUGGUGUGUGGAUGUCCAGCAUUUGUACAGUUCUGCUGCUGUGGGCGCGUCAUCAUUUUAGAGUAUCGUGAAUGUUCAUAGUGACCCGUGUAUUGGUGGAUUACUUUUACUGAUCCAUGUAGGGAAAUUUACUCUGAAUUUAACCCACCCCAAUCUAGUCUACUGUUGAAAUUGUUGAUCAGCUGUCAUUGUCGUUGAGGGGCUGUGUGCGGCAUAAUAUGUGAAUUAUAUGCAUAUGGCUGCGUUAGCUGUUACAGAGAUGUGUAAGAUAGAUGUGUAAGGGUAUGUAGUUUACAGUUGCUUACUGAAGGCCCUGACUGAAACCCCACAGUACGCUACUGCUUUUACAUUGCUGCUGCAGGUAAUUAUUCAAGUUAGCGGUUCUAAAUACAAAUAAAUAAGCGCUAACAGCACAUGACAUCAUGAAAAUAGGGGGAAACAGUAACAGUUAACGAAACAUCUAUAGAGAAAAUAUAACUGUUACCGGAUUAAACUGGCUGCCUUCACAGUAGACCCUCUGCUUUGCAGCACAGUUAAUGAUAUGCUAAGGAUAGGAUCCCUUGACGCGAUUGGUUAUUGAAUUUUGUGACGUAUCCAAAAAAAAGGUGCCGAUUUAUAUUUCUUAUGUGACUGAGCUAAAUAGCUGUAUAUAAAUGUUGUUAUAACUGGCAUGUUGUACUGCGUAACAUAAUUAACUUUUUAAUAACUUUUUAAUUUAAUUUAAAUUUAAUUUAAUUUAAUUUAAUAAAAAUUAAAUAUAUUAAAUCUUUUGGAGAAUGUGAAUAUACAAACCCGAUUCCAAAAAAGUUGGGAUACUGUACAAAUUGUGAAUAAAAACAGAAUGCAAUGAUGUGGAAGUUUCAAAUUUCAAUAUUUUAUUCAGAAUACAACAUAGAUGACAUAUCAAAUGUUUAAACUGAGAAAAUGUAUAAUUUUAAGGGAAAAUAGUUGAUUUUAAA
rnacentral:lncRNA from 1 species